UACGUAGGCAGCGAGCGUUGUUCGGAGUUACUGGGCGUAAAGAGUGCGUAGGCGGUUUUUUAAGUUUGGUGUGAAAUCUCCCGGCUUAACUGGGAGGGUGCGCCGAAGACUGGAAGGCUUGAGUAUGGGAGAGGUAAGCGGAAUUCCUGGUGUAGCGGUGAAAUGCGUAGAUAUCAGGAGGAACACCUGCGGUGUAGACGGCUUACUGGACCAUAACUGACGCUGAGGCACGAAGGCGUGGGUAGCAAACAGG
rnacentral:rRNA from 1 species